GACGAACCGUGCGAACGUUGUUCGGAAUCACUGGGCUUAAAGGGCGCGUAGGCGGGCUGCCAAGUCUGGGGUGAAAUCCCACGGCUCAACCGUGGAACUGCCUCGGAUACUGGCGGCCUCGAGGGAGGUAGGGGCAUGCGGAACUGUGGGUGGAGCGGUGAAAUGCGUUGAUAUCCACAGGAACUCCGGUGGCGAAGGCGGCAUGCUGGACCUCUUCUGACGCUGAGGCGCGAAAGCCAGGGGAGCAAACGGG
rnacentral:rRNA from 1 species